UUGGGAACUGUUGGGCUAGAACGUACUAACGGACUGGUUUUUGUUUCAUCCUUCCCAUCAAACUGUCACACCGGACAACCUGCCAAACGGCUUCUCCUCUGAACGUGCUGGGGCCCGCCCGCUUGUGAUACUGACGUGUUAUGGAGUUAAUGUCCUGGAACUGACCCGUGACAGACUGUGGGGAUGCAGGAUGUUGCAGAAUUACUCACCCCACAAGGACUUCUUCACAUCGGUUGGUGUCACAAUCUGGAAUGAAAAAACAUUUAUACAGCCUGAACUUUCUCCCUGAUUGGUUUUAGAAAGCUGUUUGGUCAUUGUGGUGUGGUUGCUUGGACGUUCUCUGCCGUACUCGGGAGCCUGGGCUGUGUCCCCAGAUUUUGACACAGAUGGACUAUUUAAUAUAUUGUGUUAUUUCUGAAUGCAUUUGAUCUCACCACAGUUUAUUUGAGCAAAGCAAAGGGGUGAAAACUUAUGCAAUAUGUUUUUUUUGUGUAAUGAAUGCAUUUUUCCUAACAUCAAUACUAUUUAAUACUCUUUGUAGAUCAAUAACAGAACAAAACAAAUUUAGCUCACAUUGUAGCACUACAAAAUGUGCAAAAGUCCACUAUAUAUUUCAUACAUAGUUCUCCUUGACUUAUCUGAAUAAAUAAAUGUUGGGGCAGACCA
ensembl:lncRNA